rnacentral:piRNA from 1 species
UGAGGCGGGCGCCAUGCAGACGGGCA